UGGACAGUUUGAUCCUGGCGCUCAGGACGAACGCUGGCGGCGUGCUUAACACAUGCAAGUCGAACGGAAAGGUCUCUUCGGAGAUACUCGAGUGGCGAACGGGUGAGUAACACGUGGGUAAUCUGCCCUGCACUUCGGGAUAAGCCUGGGAAACUGGGUCUAAUACCGAAUAGGACCACUUGGCGCAUGCCUUGUGGUGGAAAGCUUUUGCGGUGUGGGAUGGGCCCGCGGCCUAUCAGCUUGUUGGUGGGGUGAUGGCCUACCAAGGCGACGACGGGUAGCCGGCCUGAGAGGGUGUCCGGCCACACUGGGACUGAGAUACGGCCCAGACUCCUACGGGAGGCAGCAGUGGGGAAUAUUGCACAAUGGGCGCAAGCCUGAUGCAGCGACGCCGCGUGGGGGAUGACGGCCUUCGGGUUGUAAACCUCUUUCACCAUCGACGAAGGUCCGGGUUUUCUCGGAUUGACGGUAGGUGGAGAAGAAGCACCGGCCAACUACGUGCCAGCAGCCGCGGUA
rnacentral:rRNA from 1 species